rnacentral:tRNA from 1 species
GCGGUGGCUCAGCGGUAGAGCGCUCGCCUAGCAUGUGGGAGGCCCUGGGUUCCAUCCUCAGCACCACA